UACGAAGGGGGCUAGCGUUGUUCGGAUUUACUGGGCGUAAAGCGCACGUAGGCGGAUUGUUAAGUCGGGGGUGAAAUCCUGGAGCUCAACUUCAGAAUUGCCUUCGAUACUGGCUUUCUAGAGGCUGGAAGAGGUUAGUGGAAUUCCCAGUGUAGAGGUGAAAUUCGUAGAUAUUGGGAAGCACACCAGUGGCGAAGGCGGCUAACUGGUCCAGAUCUGACGCUGAGGUGCGAAAGCGUGGGGAGCAAACAGG
rnacentral:rRNA from 1 species